GGCGUGCUUAACACAUGCAAGUCGAACGGAAAGGCCCCGCUUGCGGGGUACUCGAGUGGCGAACGGGUGAGUAACACGUGGGUGAUCUACCCUGCACUUCGGGAUAAGCCUGGGAAACUGGGUCUAAUACCGGAUAGGACCCCUCUUUAGUGUGGGGGGUGGAAAGUUUUUUCGGUGUGGGAUGAGCCCGCGGCCUAUCAGCUUGUUGGUGGGGUAAUGGCCUACCAAGGCGUCGACGGGUAGCCGGCCUGAGAGGGUGGACGGCCACAUUGGGACUGAGAUACGGCCCAGACUCCUACGGGAGGCAGCAGUGGGGAAUAUUGCACAAUGGGCGGAAGCCUGAUGCAGCGACGCCGCGUGGGGGAUGACGGCCUUCGGGUUGUAAACCUCUUUCGCUAGGGACGAAGCUUUUGUGACGGUACCUAGAUAAGAAGCACCGGCUAACUACGUGCCAGCAGCCGCGGUAAUACGUAGGGUGCGAGCGUUGUCCGGAAUUACUGGGCGUAAAGAGCUCGUAGGUGGUUUGUCGCGUCGUCUGUGAAAUUCCGGGGCUUAACCUCGGGCGUGCAGGCGAUACGGGCAAUACUUGAGUGCUGUAGGGGAGACUGGAAUUCCUGGUGUAGCGGUGGAAUGCGCAGAUAUCAGGAGGAACACCGAUGGCGAAGGCAGGUCUCUGGGCAGUAACUGACGCUGAGGAGCGAAAGCAUGGGUAGCGAACAGGAUUAGAUACCCUGGUAGUCCAUGCCGUAAACGGUGGGCGCUAGGUGUAGGGGUCUUCCACGACUUCUGUGCCGUAGCUAACGCAUUAAGCGCCCCGCCUGGGGAGUACGGCCGCAAGGCUAAAACUCAA
rnacentral:rRNA from 1 species